ACUCCAGUUCUCAUCUGAUCACUGAAGUGAAACAAUGCUGAGCCUGGUUACUACUCAGAUGGGUGGCUGUUGGGGAAUACCAUGU